AUUAAAAUCAGGUCCGGUCCAGUAAAACAUUAAAACCCUAAAAUAUAACAGAAUCCCACUCUUUAUUCUUCUCGAUCAAGACCAGUUCUUUCAGAUCAGAAAAAUGCACAACUCGAGCAGUGGUUGUUGUAAAUCUCAAAUCCGUCGAUACACCACAGAUGCCAUCAUUCAAAGGUUAAAUAAAUACUUAUUUUUUUCAUAAUAUCGUUUUCUGUCUUCAAUUUUUCCAACAAUUGAUAUUGAUUUCCUCAUUUCCCCUCUUUUAAUUGUUUUUGUCAUCGAUGUCUUUUUUUUAAAAUUUUAGCCGUGGAUCUGUAAUUACCUAUGGAUUUUCAUAUUUAUCAAGUUGUUGUAAUCAUUCAAGAAGAAAGAGAUCUAAUAAUUAUAAUAUUAACUGCAAUUUAUAUAUUUUUCUUUAUCCGUCUCUUUAGUUGAAUAAUUCGGGAAAUAGAUCUUUAUUUGUUGGAGUUUUCUCUGGGUUUAUUCAUUUAGGAUUUGGUGUUUUAGUUUUCUUUGUUUCAUUAUUUGUUGCUAAACUUGUUAUUUGUGAUGUGCAGAUCUAAUUUGUUCGUCGUCAUUUGUUGAAGUUUUACGAAAACAUUAAAUUUUACAUUUAUUUGAAUAAAAAUCAGAAGAGCUCACCUAAUUUGAGCUCAAAAGCGCCCAAGCAUCUGGACAGUUCGUCUGGAUGGAGUAAUGCGGACCGUUUGUCUAAUAAUCAUAUUGGUUUGUACAAAUUGUGAGAUAAAAAGGUGAUAGAUGUAAUUUUAGUGAUAAUUUUUUGGUUAUACUCUGAUUGUGACCACUGCCAUCACCUUAUUUACAAAAAGCACUUUUUUUUCGUUUUUCCCACCACACUCUCCCUGCUUGUUUUUCCAACUCUGCUCAAUUUUACUCAUGUUUAUAAGUUAUACACUAUUUUGCAUGUCAUAUCAAUUUUUCUUCAGAAUAUUUCUGCAUCUUGUUAACAUCUUCAAACGACUUAUGAAUUUUUUAAUAUCAUAUGCUUAUGAUUGUGUUAGAAUACACAAUCCUAGAAGGUUGCUUGUGUUGUGUCGUAUGUUUAUUUGCAGGUUUAAUUUUAUUUGCUUGUGUUUCACUAUUGAAGUGUGUGUUUUGAUUUCAAUUAUCAUUAAAAGCAAAAUGGUAAUGAAAAAUUUUAAAAAAAUUGAAACAAUUAAUUCGAUUAUUGGUUAAUUAAUUCAAACUGUAAUUUGAUAUAGUUUAUUCCAAACUCAUAGGUGUUGGUGCUAAACAAACUUGAUCUUCAUUCCAUGAAAAAUUCGAAGUAUGUAAUUUCUUAUUUCAAUUUUCAUUUUAGUUUAUUAAUCUAAUUUUUUUAAAUGCAUUACAUAAUUAUUGUUUAGUUAAUUUUUCAAUUGUAUAAUUUUAAUAAAUUGUUUGAUAUUUAAAAUAGCAUAAUGGGAAGGAGAGAAAAACUUAUACCGCGCAAAGGUUCGUUUCCUGUACGUGUUCUGGUAGUGCACUCACAAGUUCCUGUCGUACCUGUAGCUGUACUUGUUGUACCUCAUUCACUGGUAAAAUUAUUGAAUAUCUAAUUUUUUAUUUUUUAUUUCAACUAAUUCAUUUUUCAUAAUAUAGAAUUUGAAACUAGGUCGGCAAGCUUUUUUUAUAGAAAAUUUUCUGUGAAAACCAUGAAAAUAAUUAAAUAGAUAAAAAUGCAUUUAAAAAUAAUAAUAAUAGUUUUAAACAUUUAUAGAUAUAAAAUAUUUCACUUGAAUGGGUCAAUUUCGUGAGUUGGGCCCAUUCAAGUGAAACCAAUUUAAAAUAAGGGUUAGGGUUUAGAAAGAAAAGGGGGGAAUAUAUAGACAAAGGAUGGAAAGAGAAAAGGAGGAGAAAAACGUGAGUGGAAGGAGAAGGAAGGGCAGCUAGUCUGGCAAGGCGACGAAACUCCGGUGAGAGACCAUCCAGGAAACGAGCGAAGAGGUGCCAAGGUGGUUGGAAAGCUUGGUGUGGAUUGUGUGUAAAAAGGUUUCAAAAACAAAAUGAGGUAUGAAAUUUCUAUAUAUAGAUAUAGGAAAUUUCUGGAAUACAUCGAUUUAUCAUAUGGCUUUGGGUAUUGCAAACAAACAGAAAUAAAUAAAUAAACUACGAUCGAAUUUUCUAAAGGGUGUGACAUAUGUGAUGAGUUAGAGACUAUCAUCGUUUAAAAUAAAUAAAUUGGUGUAUUGGUGACUUAUGAAUCUUUAAAUUUUACAAAGGUCAUUCUUUCGUGUGUAUGUUAAUGUCACCCUAGGGUUUAUGAUAUUUGUUUAACAGGAUGUGAAGGGUUUUUGUUUUAUAUUUUUUCUGUUCUCCCUAUUUGUAUGUUAUCUGUUGGUGAAGGAGUGGUACCCUGGUUUCACGUUUUUUUGUACCUUUCUUUCUAUUGGUUAAAUAAAUUAUCUGUUGACAUGUUUCCCUCUAGUUCUAUGAACGAUUUUUCUUCUCAAGAAUCGGGUUGGGUGUUGACCAUAGUAUGCAGGUAUAAAUGGUGUGUAUGUUCUGAUGGAUGGAAGUCUAAUUUAUGUUUAUACUUCCUGAUUUUCCAGAUUUGGGUAUUUUCCAGAUUUUUAUAUUUCCCAGAUUUUCCAGAUUUUGGUAUUUCCAGAUUUUUUUCAGAUUCAGAUUGCUAAUUCUCAACAAAUUCAGAUCCUUACAUCUGCAGAUAACCUACAAAUAGGGAGAACAGAAGAAAAAAAAUGAAACAAAAACCCUUCACAUCCUGUUAAACAAAUAUUAUAAACCCUAGGGUGACAUUAACAUACACACUAAAUAAUGACCUUUGUAAAAUUUAAAGAUUCAUAAGUCACCAACACACCCAUUUAUUUAUUUUAAACGAUGAUAGUCUCUAACUCAUCACAUCUGUCACACCUUUUAGCAAAAUCGAUUGUUGUUUAUUUAUUUCUGGUUGUUUGCAAUACCCAAAGCCAUAUGAUAAAUCGAUGUAUUUCAUAAAUUUCCUAUAUCUAUCUAUACACAGAAAUCCUAUAUUUCGUUUUGUUUUUGAAACCUUUCUACACACCAAGCUUUCCAACCACCUCGGCACCUUCUUGCUCGUUUCCCGGAUGGUCUCUUGUCGGAGUUUCGUCAUAUUGCCGGAAUAGCUGCCCUUCUUCCACUCACGUUUUUCUCCCCCUUUUCUCUUUCCAUCCUUUGUCUAUAUAUUCCUUCCUUUUCUUUCUAAACCCUUAUUUUAAUUUGGUUUCACUUGAAUGGGUCCAACUCAUGAAAUUGGCUCAUUCAAGUGAAACAUUUUAUAUCUAUAAAUGUUUAAAAUUUUUUUUUUUUUAAAUGCAUUUUUAAUUAUUUUCAUGGUUAAAAUUAUUACGAAAACCAGAAGGUGUAUCGUAAAUCUUAACCGAAUUGAUGUAUCUUAAAUAAACCUAUAAAUUUCUGUGAAAAACUAUUCAAAGUGUUACCAAAACCAAAUAAGCUUUCAAAUACAUUUUACAAGGCGAAACAAAAAAUGAAGAAUCUUGGAUUUGGACAUGAGAAAAUCGAUGUAUGUCCGAAUAAUUGUAUAUUGUAUUGAAAUGUUCGACAUGUUAUGAACUUAGAUUUAAGACCAGAACAAGUGGUGGUCGUAAUAUUUCUGUGAAUUUUUUUCGUUAUUUUUCUUUAAUACCUCGACUACAACUAUUGUAUUAUUGUUCAAAGAUUGUCAAAGAAAUGGUCUUGGCAUAGUAGACGUCGUUAAAAUGUCCUCAAUGAGCUACGACAUCCAUCUGAUGGUCAAGUUUGUAAACAUUUCGAUAGUACUUAUCCUUCAUUUUCCUCGGUCUUUCUACAGAUGGAUUCAAUUCAUUCGGUUAUUCUUCGUCACAAUAUUCUUUAUGGUCAGUAAUUAAGAUGUAGGUAUUUAAUCUACAUAUUUUAUUUAUUUAUUUAUUUUCAUUUUAUUUUAUUUUAUUUAUAAAUAAACUAACGAUUGCAAGCUUAAAAUCUGAACUUGCAUAUACCAGAAUUUCCAACACUCACCUUUCGGACUACGGCGCAACCAGAUCAAAUGGACAAUUUCAUUUAUUCAUCUGGAACAUCGACGUCACGAGCACCAGUGCAGCACGAUUGAAUCAGAGAAACAGACUCCUACAUAACGUCGCGGAUGACCAAUAAUUUUCUCAAGAAACGAAUUAUUAAAGCUCGCAUUCAGAAAAAACAAAAAGUAAACCAACGACGAUCGACAAAAUAGAAAUUAGGAUAGUUAACGACUUUUUAAAAUAACUUUUUAUUUGAGUUUGUCGCAAAUGAUUUUAAUUAUCGAAUAUUUAGAUUUUCGUAUACUUUUAAUUUCAUUUUCAAUUUCAUUUUUAUUUAAUACAAUUUAUAAUAAAUAAUAUAUAAUUCUAAUUAAUUAAUAAA
rnacentral:lncRNA from 1 species